AUCGUCCAUUGGUCAUGAAUGUCAACGGUUUCUGGUCACAGAACUGUCGGUGGGCAGCGAAAGAGACAGCGUGAUUGACAGCGAAGACGGCAAAGACGCCGAUAAUUCAGAUGAAGACUUUAUGCAGGAGGCUGAAGACCAUCACAGUAGUGUCAAGAAGAAGUCAUCGAUGGUGAGCUAUGAAGAGGACGAAGACGAUGAUGAUUCUGACAUAUUUGGAGAGUCUGACAAGGAGGAGGAGGAUGAGGAUGCAAAGGUUGGCCUGUCACAGCCACGUGUAGACUGC